rnacentral:rRNA from 1 species
AGAAAAGCAGGGGAUCGCAAGACCUUGUGCUUUUGGAGCGGCCGAUGUCUGAUUAGCUAGUUGGUGAGGUAAAGGCUUACCAAGGCUUCGAUCAGUAGCUGGUCUGAGAGGACGACCAGCCACACUGGGACUGAGACACGGCCCAGACUCCUACGGGAGGCAGCAGUGGGGAAUUUUGGACAAUGGGGGAAACCCUGAUCCAGCCAUGCCGCGUGAGUGAAGAAGGCCUUCGGGUUGUAAAGCUCUUUCAGCCGGAACGAAAAGGUUACGGUUAAUACCCGUGACUAAUGACGGUACUGGAAGAAGAAGCACCGGCUAACUACGUGCCAGCAGCCGCGGUAAUAUGUAGGGUGCGAGCGUUAAUCGGAAUUACUGGGCGUAAAGCGUGCGCAGGCGGUUUUGUAAGUCAGAUGUGAAAUCCCCGGGCUCAACCUGGGAACUGCGUUUGAAACUACAAGGCU